CUCGCCCUUAUGGAAAUAGACAAGGAAGAGAUGUGUAGGAGAUGCCUAGACAAGGUGGGAAGCCAUUGCAGUGCAGACAACAGUCAGCUUUGGGAAGAAGUAAGGAUCUUCAUCACCUCUUCUGAGGCUGAUGUUGUGUGCCAGGAGCAAGGAGAGGACACCGGCGGAUGUGCAGAUUAGGAGGGAAGGAUGAUACUCAUGAUGAUGAUGAUGCCAUUGAUGACCUAAAGAGAGCAGAAAAGCUUGAGCCUCCGGCAAAGGAGCAAAUAUUUUGAAGACAGUGAGAUCCAGGUUUCAUCACUGUUCGAAAAUGAAGCAGUAACUGCAUAGAAGCAAUCUUUGCUGGGUUUCCCGUGCCCAGGGAGUCCAGCCUGGAUCCCCACAUCCAGAAUGAAGCUUCAGACACGCCCUGACAGCUUGCUUCUCCAGCAGGAAUCUCAGAGAGCUUGCCUGCCUUUCCCUUGUCAAGAAGAAAAGACAAACAGGUUGUAUUUUCCUUCAUAAAACAACAACUACAUGCAAGAACAUGGGCAGCACUCAAGGCCACUUUGUUAAGCCAAGGAGGGAGACCACAGUAUCAUGAAGCAUGUGCCUAUCUACUGAAGUUCAAGGGAAGGCGAUCUUGGACCAUCAAGGGACAGAGGUCACAAGAGUGUUCUAUACUCACAGGAAGGCAACAGGAACCAGUCCGAUGGUGUGAUAAAACCAUUCUCGUCUUGAUCUCGGUGGUAGUUUUGCCUUACUCAGGAGCACAGGGGGAAACUGGAUGUAUACAGAUAUGCUGGCUUACUCUGUUGCUGUGUGGCUACUGUUCCAUUACAUGUAUAUCUUGUGGCAUCAUGCCGUAUACUGUAAACUUACAUGAUAAAAUCUAUAAAAUAAGUAGUGUACUUAAUAAUGAUAUGUUUAUGGGUAAUGCUCUUAGUUUGAAAUAUGUCUUUUUAAAUUAGCCCAGCCAUUGUGGACAUCAGUAUGGAUCUUCCUCAAAAUGUAUGAAAUAUUCAAGAAUAAAGAAAUUAUUUUUAAUUUA